rnacentral:piRNA from 1 species
AGACUGAGUUUAGGGCACACCGG